rnacentral:rRNA from 1 species
AGUCGACGAGGGGGCACCCCUAGUGGCGAACGGCGGAGUAAGACGUGAGCAACGUGCCCCGAAGUCCGGGACAAACGCAGAAAUGCCAUAAAUACCGGAUGUGACCCCAACUCGGCAUCGAGAUGGGAUUAAACGGUUUUUCGCUUCGGGAGCGGCUCACGGCCCAUCAGGUAGUUGGGGGGGUAACGGCCCACCAAGCCGACGACGGGUAGCGGGUCUGAGAGGAUGAUCCGCCCGAGUGGGACUGAGACACGGCCCACACACCUACGGGUGGCAGCAGUUGGGAAUCUUGCACAAUGGGGGAAACCCUGAUGCAGCGACGCCGCGUGGAGGAUGAAGGGUCUAGGCCUGUAAACUCCUUUUACCGGGAAAGACUUAGGACGGUACCCGGGGAAUAAGGACCGGCUAACUACGUGCCAGCAGCCGCGGUAAGACGUAGGGUCCAAGCGUUGUCCGGAUUUACUGGGCGUAAAGAGCGCGUAGGCGGUCCGUUAAGUGUAGAGUGAAAGCUCCGGGCUCAACUCGGAAAUUGCUCUGCAUACUGGCGGACUCGAGGACGGAUGAGGUUUGUGGAAUUCCUG